rnacentral:lncRNA from 1 species
UAUUUUCUUCUUCUUUAUUCAAAUCACUUAAUCUUCUGACUCAGAUCAUAUGUAUUAUUUAUGACUCAAUUCAUACAUCAUAUUUCACUCAGUUAGAUGCUAGAUCUCCAAUACAUAUAGAAUCUUUUUCACUCAAAUCCUUUACAAUGCUGGAAAACAUUCACUUUCACAAUUAUUUGAAAUUUCACAACACAUUUAUUCUCUCAUUUCAAAAGGAUUUUGAAUGUGUUUUGAGUGUUCUUGCAAACAAAUUAUUUUAUCUUCUACCCCAUUCUUAUUCUAUUUUCAUGUGGAUUUAAAUCCCAUCUUUGGAGAUUUUGUUAUUAUGUUUAACACUUCUUUGAAUGUUUUAUUGAGAUUUUAGAGGUUUGCAAGGUAUGUGUGGCUGUGUCUGGUUUUGAUAAGUCCAACUGAAAAAAAAGAGGUUCUUAUCUCCAUAAUUAUUUUGGUAGUGUUGUAUGGAAGCAUACAGGCAAAGUGAGAGUUCUUCUCAAUCUUUGGACAGACCAACAUUUCAGAUAUGAGGAAAGAUCACUGCAUAAUAGAGAUUUUGGAGCAUAAUUGUUGGGACUGGAAGAUUCAAGAAAGUUUCGAGUAAAUAUUUUGUGAGGAUUCAGUUUGGAUAUUGUGCACAAGUCAAUAGGGUCUAGAUAAAAGAUUUUUAUAUUUCAACAUUAUUUUGAUAUUGUAAUUGUACUAAACAUCAUGUAAUUUGUCACAAACUAUUGUGAAAAACCAAAUUUAUUAUUGGGAAACAAUUAGAUAGUGGAGUAGGCUUAGUGAAGACAAUAGUUAAACCACUAAAAAUCUGACAUACACUUUUCUCUCUCUCUCUCUCUCCUUCAUAGAAUUGCAAGUUUAGGUUGUUUUUAUUGCUUUCCUAGAAUCAUAUGUUGCUAGGUUUUUUCCUUGGUAGCGGUUUAUCAAUUAAGUGUGAGUUUUGUAAGAAUUAACAUUACAAAUUAUCUUGUUGUUGAUUAACGCUGAAAAUUGUGAUCAUAGUAUUCUCC